GAACGAAGGAAAGCGAAGCCCAAGCCAGCGCACCCCUCGAGACGGCGGCUGCGGGCGAGGGGGAAGGCUCUUGUUUUGGCAAAAGUCCUGCAGUGGUUCCUCCUCCUCCUCCUAUCUAUCGGGAAAUCUACUUCCUACAGUCAAAUUUUCAAGAUGAUCAUUCGAAGUAUUGCAACUCUGUCCUUGCUGACAUCUAUGGACAAGAUUGCCCCGGCUUGAAUAGAUUGUCUUCUCUUACUUACCUUUUUUGUUUUUAGUUGUCAUUUAUAUAUUUUAUAUUACUACUUUGCAGCUGUGGUCAUUAACAUUUGAAUUGAGUAACAUAAGUAUGUUUAUGUUUUUUAUGCUAUGAGAGAAAGCUCAGCUGUUAAAGACCCCAGCUGAUUGUUAAAGAGACAUUACAUCUUUCUUGCCUUUGGGGGAAUAUAAAAGACUUAAGAUAUUAUCUGAAACUACCAAGUCUACGGCUGAGUAAAAAUGGCUGAUGCAAAACCUAUUGACUCUGCUGGAGCAUUUGGGAUCCCCAAAUGGAUGAUGCGUAAAGGAACGAGGUCUGUGAUUGGAAUCUGUAUUGGAAUUAUCUACUCAAAGACAGAAUAAAAAAGUAAGCAUAAACACAUGUAUUCACACACAAGCAUGUAAUGUAUGUGUGUGUGUGUGUGUGAGUGUGAGUGUGAAUGUAAGUGUAAGUGUAAGUGUGAA